rnacentral:rRNA from 1 species
CAAUAGCGUAUAUUAAAGUUGUUGCGGUAAAAAAGCUCGUAGUUGGAUUUCUGUUGAGGAUGAGCGGUCCAUACCACGUAUGCGCAUCUGUUUCAGCCUCGGCAUCCUCUCGAUAGACGUUUCUGCGCUUGAUUGCGUGGUGCGGAUUUCGGGACUUUUACUUUGAGGAAAUUAGAGUGUUCACGGCAGGCUAUCGCCAGAAUACAUUAGCAUGGAAUAAUAUUAUAGGAUCUCGGUUCUAUUUUGUUGGUUUCUAGAAUUGAGUUAAUGAUUAAUAGGAACAAUUGGGGGCAUUCGUACUCCGUUGUCAGAGGUGAAAUUCUAGGAUUGACGGAAGACGAACAACUGCGAAAGCAUCUGCCAAGGAUGUUUUCAUUGAUCAAGAACGAAAGUUAGGGGAUCGAAGACGAUUAGAUACCAU